CCUACGGUGGGCAGCAGUGAGGAAUAUUGGUCAAUGGACGAGAGUCUGACCCAGCCAAGUAGCGUGAAGGAUGACUGCCCUAUGGGUUGUAAACUUCUUUUAUAAGGGAAUAAAAUGUUCCACGUGUGGGAUUUUGUAUGUACCAUAUCAAUAAGGAUCGGAUAACUCUGUGCCAGCAGCCGCGGUAAUACGGAGGUUCCGAGCGUUAUCCGGAUUUAUUUGGUUUAACGGGAGCGUAGGUGGCUUGUUAAGUCAGUUGUGAAAGUUUGCGGCUCAACCGUAAAAUUGCAGUUGAAACUGGCAGUCUUGAGUACAGUAGAGGUGGUCGGAAUUCGUGGUGUAGCGGUGAAAUGCUUAGAUAUCACGAAGAACUCCGAUUGCGAAGGCAGUUCACUGGACUGCAACUGACACUGAGGCUCGAAAGUGUGGGUAUCAAACAGGAUUAGAUACCCGUGUAGUC
rnacentral:rRNA from 1 species